rnacentral:rRNA from 1 species
UCAAGCUAAUAAGAGCAUAGGGUGGAUGCCUUGGCACUAGGAGCCGAAGAAGGUCGUGAUAAGCUGCGAAAAGCUUUGGGGAGGCGCAAAUAGCCAUUGAUCCAGAGAUUACCGAAUGGGGAAACCUGGCUGGGAAGAUCCCAGUUACUACUGAGUGAAUACAUAGCUUAGUAGGGGGAACCCGGGGAACUGAAACAUCUAAGUACCCGGAGGAAGAGAAAGAAACAUCGAUUUCCUAAGUAGCGGCGAGCGAAAGGGAAAGAGGCCAAACCGUUGAACCUAGUUCAACGGGGUUCGGACUGCAGACGGUAUUAACAAAGAUUAGUCGAAAUGUUUUGGAAGAGCAUAUCAAAGAGGGUGAGAAUCCCGUAGACGAAAGUUUAAGUUAGCCAGCAGGAUCCAGAGUAGCGCGAGACACGAGAAACCUUGCGUGAACAAGCGGGGACCACCCCGUAAGCCUAAAUACUACCUAGUGACCGAUAGCGCAUAGUACUGUGAAGGAAAGGUGAAAAGAACCCCGGGAGGGGAGUGAAAGAGAACCUGAAACCCUAUGUUUACAAGCAGUCGAAGCACGUUAAAGUGCGACGGCGUACUUUUUGUAGAACGGUCCGGCGAGUUACGAUUGCAGGCAAGGUUAAGCAUUAAAGAUGUGGAGCCGAAGGGAAACCAAGUCUUAAUAGGGCGUCAAGUCAGUAGUCGUAGACCCGAAACCGGGUGACCUAUCCAUGUGCAGGUUGAAGUUACCGUAAAAGGUAAUGGAGGACCGAACUCACAUCUGUUGAAAAAGGUGGAGAUGACGUGUGGAUAGCGGAGAAAUUCCAAUCGAACCCGGAGAUAGCUGGUUCUCCUCGAAAUAGCUUUAGGGCUAGCCUUGAUUUAGUCUAAUGGAGGUAGAGCACUGAAUUGCCUAGGGGGCUUCACAGCUUACCGAAGCAUAUCAAACUCCGAAUGCCAUAUAGAUGAUGAUCAGGAGUCAGACUAUCGGAGAUAAGUUCGAUAGUCAAAAGGGAAAGAGCCCAGACCACCAGCUAAGGUCCCAAAGUGCGUGUUAAGUGGAAAAGGAUGUGAGAUUUCGAAGACAACUAGGAUGUUGGCUUAGAAGCAGCCAUGCAUUCAAAGAGUGCGUAAUAGCUCACUAGUCGAGAGGUCUUGCGCCGAAAAUGUCCGGGGCUAAAACACGCCACCGAAGCUGUGGAUUGGUACGUAAGUAUCAGUGGUAGAGGAGCAUUCUUAGAUUGGAGAAGCUGUACCGUAAGGAGCAGUGGAGAGCUAAGAAGAGAGAAUGCCGGAAUGAGUAGCGAGAGAGAAGUGAGAAUCUUCUCGGCCGAAUAUCUAAGGUUUCCAGAGUAAAGCUGAUCUUCUCUGGGUAAGUCGGGACCUAAGGUGAGGGCGAAAGCCGUAGCCGAUGGACAACUAGUUGAAAUUCUAGUACCGCAUAUAAACAGAACUGUGGGGACGCAGGAGGAUAACAAGAGCCAGGAAAGGAAAAACUGGUGCAAGCACAAAGGCCGUUGGAUAGGCAAAUCCGUCCAACAUAAGGUUGAAGUGUGACGCGGAUCGAAUUAAAGUAGAGAAGCUUGUGAAUCCAUACUGCCAAGAAAAGCCGCUAUUGUUUUAUAUGUGCCCGUACCGCAAACCGACACAGGUAGAUGAGGAGAGAAUCCUAAGGCCGACGGGAGAAGCGUUGUUAAGGAACUCGGCAAAAUGACCCCGUAACUUCGGGAGAAGGGGUGCCAUCUUCGGAUGGCCGCAGAGAAUAGGCCCAAGCGACUGUUUAGCAAAAACACAGGUCUCUGCAAAACCGAAAGGUGAAGUAUAGGGGCUGACGCCUGCCCGGUGCUGGAAGGUUAAGGGGAAGGAUUAGCGUAAGCGAAGUCUAGAACUUAAGCCCCAGUAAACGGCGGCCGUAACUAUAACGGUCCUAAGGUAGCGAAAUUCCUUGUCG